UUCAAAUCAUAGUCGUUCUCAAU
rnacentral:snRNA from 1 species